rnacentral:rRNA from 1 species
UCCUACGGGAGGCAGCAGUAGGGAAUCUUCCGCAAUGGACGAAAGUCUGACGGAGCAACGCCGCGUGAGUGAUGAAGGCUUUCGGGUCGUAAAACUCUGUUGUUAGGGAAGAACAAGUGCUAGUUGAAUAAGCUGGCACCUUGACGGUACCUAACCAGAAAGCCACGGCUAACUACGUGCCAGCAGCCGCGGUAAUACGUAGGUGGCAAGCGUUAUCCGGAAUUAUUGGGCGUAAAGCGCGCGCAGGUGGUUUCUUAAGUCUGAUGUGAAAGCCCACGGCUCAACCGUGGAGGGUCAUUGGAAACUGGGAGACUUGAGUGCAGAAGAGGAAAGUGGAAUUCCAUGUGUAGCGGUGAAAUGCGUAGAGAUAUGGAGGAACACCAGUGGCGAAGGCGGCUUUCUGGUCUGUAACUGACACUGAGGCGCGAAAGCGUGGGGAGCAAACAGGAUUAGAUACCCUGGUAGUCCACACCGUAAACGAUGAAUGCCAGUCGUCGGAUAGUAUACUAUUCGGUGACACACCUAACGGAUUAAGCAUUCCGCCUGGGGAGUACGGUCGCAAGAUUAAAACUCAAAGGAAUUGACGGA